ensembl:lncRNA
CUCUGAUUCUCAGACGCCUGAGGACUCGCUGUGGUCGUGUCCGGAGGCCCCUAGCUGAGACGGCGCCAGGGUUCCUGCUGGACUUCAUCUCCUGCCCUGUCAGUCAUUAAAGGUUUCACCUCUGCUGCUACCGUCACCAUCAGCUUCGGGCAGAUCCAGUUUAUCCUGACGGCAUCUGUCGCUUCUGGAGCCCACUCCAACCACAAGGAGGACAGUCACUCCAAUGCCUGUGAAAAGGAAUCUUCACGAGUGUUUAGGAAUCCGGUGAAUCACUCCAGCGUGCUGAUUCAUCCUCCCAGACACCCAGCACUCUGUCCUAUGUGCCCAUCCAGUGAGGAGUCAGACAUCUGCAGGACGUACUAUGUGAGCCUGGUCCUGAAGGAGGAGGGCAAGAAGAAGGACAAGAGGACCAGAAGGGACCACUAUGAUCCAAGUAUCCUCCUUGAAAAGGAGACCUGCUACGGGUUUUGCACAGGCUGCUGGAGAGAGAGGGGAGGCAGGAGGCUGGGGAAGAAGUGAUGGCCGCACAUAGAGCGAAAGGGUGAAGAUAAAUAUUCUGACUUCAUCUUGAUGGAGAGAAUCUCUGAGAGACUCUCAGCACAGGGGGACGUCUGGGCACCACAGGGGCCCUGUGGGGCUGGCUGUGGUGAGAGGAGCAGGAGGAUGGAGGCUGUGUGAUCGCUCCUGUCCUGUGCCUCCUGAGACCUGAAGCCGCUGCGGCUGUGGGCCUCGUGACUCCACCCAGGUUCUGAAGAUGGAUGGGCAUCUCACUCCACCGGGCCUGUUCUUGGGAUUCAGGGGACUCGUUAACACAGCUGAUAUGCACCAAAUUCCUCCUCCCUGUGAAAAGUUCAUCCUGGUCUAAGGGAAGUGGCCUUCCAGUCACUUGUCCUUUGGCUCCAGGACCCUGGAGGGUCCUGGCACAAAGAUAACCAAUGGAUCAAAAUGGAGAGCUCUGAGCCAGCCCCACACAUACAUGAGGGCAUAUGCUUUGUAACAAAGGUGGCCUCACAGAGCAGUGGGGAAAGACAGCUCUUUUGAUAAAUUAUGAUGGGUCAAUUGGACAUCACAUGGGAAAAACAAACUUGUCUUCGGAGCUCCCACUUUGGACCCUGCAUGAUGCCAUGAUACUCUGUUCUUACAUGCUUGUAUGAUGAGGACUAUAAUGGUUGUAACAUCGCUGUUAUAUGUUUACAGAUUUGCCACUCUCAAUGUGCUUUACAAUCUGCCAUUUCCCCAACAACCCUAAGAAGCAGGCAAAGAAGACCUUAUUGGUCCUUUCAUGGAUGAUGAAGGAGAAACUUGAAAGUGUGAGUGACUGACCCAAGGACAUUUACCUACUGCUCGAGCCUCAUCUGCUUGAUUCCAAGCCCGGGACUCUUUCCAGUUCAAGAGGUCCUAAUUCCCAUUCCCGGGGGGAAUCAGGGGAGCAGGGAGAAGUGGGCUGUGAUGGAGGUGGACUGGGAGUGGCUAGAGGUCAAUAGCACCGUCCUCGCACCAACUUAUGAUGGGCUACUAGGCCAAGUGCCCCUGGACCUCUUCCUGAGGAGGGUGCUCCAUAAGACGGAGCAAGAGGGUGAGGAGUUUUGGUGGGAAGAGGAGGGCCAGGGAAAGGGGCAGAGAGUCUGCCACUUGGAAUAGCAACUGGUUGGGGGCAGAAGAGCUGAGGCCUGAUCCAAGCUCGGCCAUGAACUUGCUGUGUGCCCUUGGACAAAUGACUUUAUCUCUCUGGGACUCAGUUUCCUCAUCUUUGAAGAGAUUAAUUCCAAUAUCUAUCACCUAAUGUGGUUGUAAGAAUUAAUGGGAAUUGUACUUGUCAAUUAGUGAGGGCUCAACAAUUGUUGACAGUCAAUAUUAUUCAGAUCACGUCUCCUCACUAAUAAAAAGCAACAGCUGCCAUUAAUUGAGUAUUUACUUCUCUUUAUCUCAUCUAAUCCUCACGACGACUCCAG